AGAGUUUGAUCCUGGCUCAGAAUCAACGCUGGCGGCGUGCCUAACACAUGCAAGUCGAACGAGAAAGUGGAGCAAUCCAUGAGUAAAGUGGCGACCGGGUGAGUAACACGUGACUAACCUGCCCUUCAGUGGGGGAUAACCUCGGGAAACCGGGCGUAAUACCGCAUAACACCAUGAGGUGAAAAUCCCAGUGAUCAAAG
rnacentral:rRNA from 1 species